rnacentral:misc_RNA from 1 species
GAAAUGCGAUAAUUAAUGUGAAUUGCAGAAUUCAGUGAAUCAUCGAGUCUGUGAACGCACAUUGCGCCCCCUGGUAUUCCGGGGGGCAUGCCUGUCCGAGCGUCAUUGCUGCCCUCAAGCACGGCUUGUGUGUUGGGCUUCCGUCCCUGGCAACGGGGACGGGCCCAAAAGGCAGUGGCGGCACCAUGUCUGGUCCUCGAGCGUAUGGGGCUUUGUCACCCGCUCCCGUAGGUCCAGCUGGCAGCUAGCCUCGCAACCAAUCUUUUUAACCAGGUUGACCUCGGAUCAGGUAGGGAUACCCGCUGAACUUAAGC